rnacentral:rRNA from 1 species
UACGUAGGGUGCGAGCGUUGUCCGGAAUUAUUGGGCGUAAAGAGCUUGUAGGCGGUUUGUCGCGUCUGCUGUGAAAAUCCGGGGCUCAACCCCGGACUUGCAGUGGGUACGGGCAGACUAGAGUGUGGUAGGGGAGACUGGAAUUCCUGGUGUAGCGGUGAAAUGCGCAGAUAUCGGGAGGAACACCGAUGGCGAAGGCAGCUCGCUGGGACGGUACUGACGCUGAGACGCGAAAGCGUGGGGAGCAAACAGG